rfam:Ricinus communis cultivar Hale ctg_1100012362036, whole genome shotgun sequence.
UCCUCAGUAGCUCAGUGGUAGAGCGAUCGGCUGUUAACUGACUAGUCGUAGGUUCAAAUCCUACUUUGGGAG